rnacentral:rRNA from 1 species
UACGGAGGGUGCAAGCGUUAUCCGGAUUCACUGGGUUUAAAGGGUGCGUAGGUGGGCAGGUAAGUCAGUGGUGAAAUCUCCGGGCUCAACCCGGAAACUGCCAUUGAUACUAUCAGUCUUGAAUAUCGUGGAGGUAAGCGGAAUAUGUCAUGUAGCGGUGAAAUGCUUAGAUAUGACAUAGAACACCAAUUGCGAAGGCAGCUUCUACCCGAAUAUUGACACUGAGGCACGAAAGCGUGGGGAUCAAACAGG